rnacentral:rRNA from 1 species
GACGAACGCUGGCGGCGUGCUUAACACAUGCAAGUCGAACGGAAAGGCCUACCUUCCCUCGUGGAUUGCGGGUACUCGAGUGGCGAACGGGUGAGUAACACGUGAGUGAUCUGCCCCCAACUUGGGUAUAAGCCUGGGAAACUGCGUCUAAUUUCCGAUAGGACUGCAGGGUGCUGCCUGCCGUGGAAUACGAUAUUCUAGUGGGUGGGGAUGGGUUCGCGGCCUAUUAGAUUGGUGGCGGGGUAAUGACCUACCAAGGCGGGGACAGGUAGCCAGACUGAGAGGGUGGACAGUCAAAUUGGGACUGGGACACGGCCCAGACUGGUACGGGAGGCAGCAGUGGGGAAUAGUGGACAGUGGGCGGGAGCCUGAUGCAGCGAGGGCGCGUGGGGGAUGACGGGCUUCUGGUUGUAAUCACCUUUGGAGCGCGGGGAAGCCGCCUGGUUGGAAGGGUGGUGACGUUAGUGGUAGAAGAAGCACCGGCUAACUACGUG